AGUUGGUUUAUCUGAUUACUCGAGCGUAUAAAGCAAAUAUACCACGAGAGGCCAUAGUUUAACUGGCUUGUACUAUGUUUAGAACUGUACUACUAUGUUUAGCUACUUCCUGUCAUGCUUCUUCAAUGAAUAUGCUUAUAACUACUGUUUGACGUCACUGUUGCUAUAGCUAUGCAAUGAAUUUGCUAUUUUUUUAAAAAGCGAUGGCUGAUUCAAGCAAGCGUCUAUGAUUCAAGCAGAGAUACAAAAGAAAGGGGAUUGGAAACAAAAUUUUUACGAAAUUUUUGCGUGAAGCAUUCCGUGUUAUAGGGCGUGGCUAAAACUACAAAGGAUUAUAUUUAUAGUCAGCAUGCUCAUUACCUGUCUUGACUGCUCUACAAUGUGCUGUACAUAGAAACAGUGAAAUUGAUCAUUUUUAAUGUUGAUUUUUCUAAAAAGUAAAGAGAAUUUAGCUCUAAAAAGUCGACUAAGCAACGCAGCCACUAUUACUAGACAAAUAAAUGCUAUGCAAGAAGAAAUAGCCUUUACUAUGAAGUCGUAGGAGGGACAGGCCCGUGGUGUGUCUAAAAGUACACUAAAGCAGUUUAAAGGACUAUACUGCAAACGUUUAUGAACAGUACAGCUUAUUUAUAGCAUGAAGCCAUUCUAUGUAGCACUUAGAUACAUAAUAACCAAGUCAAGCAAUGUCCUUUGCUGUUUUGACUUCACAGGAGGGACAGAGAAAAGUUGACAUAGAGUAAUUCAAGCUAAACUCAAAAAAAUUGGAAACAGAGUAAAGACAACAGACUUAGAGCUUGUCAGUGGUAUAAGCUUACUUCUCUCAAGUAUCUCCCAGGCCCUGAGUGAUCUCUAGUGGAUAGGAGAGCUAGAAACCAGGGAUACAAAACCGUAGCGCAGUCCUCCAUGUAAUUAUUUGCGAGCGCAAUAAUUACACGGAGUGCUUCACCGGAUGUCAGUCCUUUUACAUAGGGCGUGGGCGGUCGUUUCCAAUCCCCUUUCUUUUGUAUCUCUGAUUCAAGCAAGCAAUUGUGAAGGCUGUGUUUCUGCAUCUUUAUAGAAGGCACUUCAAGAAAGUACACUGGUGCUACUUGUCUACAAAGAGUGCAAAUGUACCCCAAAAUAUCAUUCCACAAGCCUACUGUACUGGCCCAGUGCAGUGCAGUCUCUUUAGUCUGAGAAACACUCGGCAGUCUGGACCCUUCUUACUGCUCCUGGUCCCAUGCAGCAAUGUAAUAAGCAGGUUGUGACAACCAAUGUUGAAAGUUGAAAAAAAGCAACACAAACAAACCAGUAUCGUUCGAUUCACGAUCACGGAGUUCUUCGAAAUUUGCCUCCUUUUUGGAACUAUUCAUCGCUCGAACUUGGCUCUUUUUAUGUUGACUAAAAUCAUUAGUAGUCUGUUUUGUAUUGAAUUCUCUCUAACUCUAAUAUUGCUAAUAUUGAUUGAAUUGAGUAGUGUGUCAUUGUUUUAAUUGAAACAGUGUGUCAAUUUUGUUGCAAAGGUGGGAUACUGUAUUCAGUUCUAGCUGUACAUGUAGUUUGACCACAGCCAUGGUAUAUGGAAGUUAUACACUAGGGUAUAACUGCCAUAUACCAUGGCUGUGGUCAGACAGGUUGUAUAAGUAGUAUAAACUACAACUGAAGCCUUUGAUCUUUGGUGCAACCAUAGUACAAAUAUAUAUAUCCAUGUGCUAUAUAGUUAGUAUAAUUAUGCUGCUAACAACUCCAUGGAAUUUUAAUCGGUGCGUAUUCGCUUGGGUCACUGAUACGAUGUAGAAGGGCUUCGUUAUCUGUACACGUUCUGGUGUGCAUGUGCAGGGCUCGAAAUUACAGUCGGACAACUGACAAAAUCUGGUCAUUAUGUGAACAUGACCGAUUACUGCACUUGUUAGUCAGACAUUUUGUCAGAGCAUAUACGCGUAUACAUGUAGAGCUAGACAGAGAUAGGGGUUAGCUGUUCUAGCCCUUGUCAGAGUUUUAGUAGUUUAGAAAAUUAUUCGUUUGAGGCGUAGCCGCAUGUGGGAUACGGUAAAGCUGACUCCGACUGUCUGUUUAUGCAUGUGUCUGUCUGUCUGUGUGUCUGUUCCAGCUGUAGCCUCGAUCCCAGGCCGAGUUUUCGCUUUUAUAACGGUUAGGCGAACAACUGGGCCUGGUACUAGUUGUCUGCGCAUGCGUCAAUCGUUCGUCAGAUUCUGACGAAUGGAUAUUCUCGUUCACUUUCGUGACAUUUAUAUUCGUGUACUAUCGUGUACUAGAAGUCAGUUCCCGUUUUAUCAUUAUUGGAAUCGAUUGGAAUGGCUCUUAGCUGAAGCUUCUCUCUUCUCUGAAGCUUAUUCUGAAGACUGAACAACAAGGGAAGAGGUAUAAAGCUUUGUCAAGCUUGUUAAGGUCAGAUAUUUUUGUGUGGGCCCUAUGGCCGGCUAUGCUAUCAAGUCUUGUUCAUGUUUGGCAAGAAUGUAGGUAGACUAUAGUUUCAUCAUUAAUAUGGUGGAUCAAGUGAAGAGUGUGAGCUAGAGAACUUGGUGCUGCCAUCAUCAGCUCGUCGACAAUGACACUAUAACCGAGAAAUUUAAUAUGUAUAGAUCUACACGUAUUUAAAAUGUCUACUUCUCUGUACAGGAGCAAUGGCUAAUAUCCAGCUAUCCCAACAGUGCUCCUCUUGGCUAUACUAACGGACGAGACUGGACAGUUUGAGACACAGGACUGGAGUAUGACCUGCUCAUUCGAGCGUUGCUGGGUAGCUCAGAGACAUCAAGAGAAUCUACGUUUUCUCAAGCAAUGAGUUACGAGUUGGGGCCUAGAAUCAGAGAAGUCCAGCAGCCUGCUAAAUCUUUUUGAAACGUAAUUUGAAGGCAUUCAAUCAUCCUGAAGUUGCCCUGGGUCACUGUAAUUGUGCUGCAGCACAACUGGCAACUCCCCAGGCCUUUGUGAAGCAGCUCCCUAUGUGCAUCUUUUGUGUACUCACUCUGUGCAUUUUCUGUGUACAAAUUUCUAUUAUUGAUUUAUUAAAUAUUUUUGCCGACCACAAAUAUACAAUGAAAAUU